rnacentral:tRNA from 1 species
UGUUCUGUGGCUUAGUUGGUUAAAGUGCCGAUCUAGUGAUUACAGCGUCGUGGGUUUGAAUCCCACCAGAACAA